rnacentral:rRNA from 1 species
GACGAACCGUGCGAACGUUAUUCGGAAUCACUGGGCUUAAAGCGCGUGUAGGCGGGACGGCACGUCGGUCGCUGAAAUCCCCCGGCUCAACCGGGGAACGGGCGCCGAUACGACCGCCCUGGAGGGACGUAGGGGGACCUGGAACUUCCGGUGGAGCGGUGAAAUGCGUUGAGAUCGGAAGGAACGCCCGUGGCGAAGCGAGGUCCUGGACGUUUCUGACGCUGAGACGCGAAAGCCAGGGGAGCCGAACGGG